rnacentral:rRNA from 1 species
GAUGAACGCUGGCGGCGUGCUUAACACAUGCCAGUCGAACGAUGAAGCCCAGCUUGCUGGGUGGAUUAGUGGCGAACGGGUGAGUAACACGUGAGUAACCUGCCCUUAACUCUGGGAUAAGCCUGGGAAACUGGGUCUAAUACCGGAUAGGAGCGUCCACCGCAUGGUGGGUGUUGGAAAGAUUUAUCGGUUUUGGAUGGACUCGCGGCCUAUCAGCUUGUUGGUGAGGUAAUGGCUCGCCAAGGCGACGACGGGUAGCCGGCCUGAGAGGGUGACCGGCCACACUGGGACUGAGACACGGCCCAGACUCCUACGGGAGGCAGCAGUGGGGAAUAUUGCACAAUGGGCGCAAGCCUGAUGCAGCGACGCCGCGUGAGGGAUGACGGCCUUCGGGUUGUAAACCUCUUUCAGUAGGGAAGAAGCGAAAGUGACGGUACCUGCAGAAGAAGCACCGGCUAACUACGUG